GGUGGUUCAGUGGUAGAGCGCUUGCCUUGCACGUAUAAGGCCCUGGGUUCGAUUCCCCAGCACCA
rnacentral:tRNA from 1 species